AAAGAUGCUAGUUCUUUCAUGAUUAUGUGAUAGGUGGUGCAUGGCCGUUCUUAGUUCGUGGAGUGAUCUGUCUGCUUAAUUGCGUUUCAAUAUUUAAAUAUGUAUACGUAUGACCCAAUAACUAUGUUGUUGUGUGUCUAGUAUUACUAUCAUUUGAAAGCAACGAACGUGACCGUAUCCUUUUAUUAUAUACACACAUGUAUAUUGUUUU
rnacentral:rRNA from 1 species